rnacentral:tRNA from 3 species
GCCUCCUUAGCUCAGUUGGUAGAGCAACGCAUUCGUAAUGCGUAGGUCGUAGGUUCGAGUCCCAUAGGAGGCU